UUAUGCAAAAAUGGUGUGGUUUAUUUAUAUCGUGCACAAAAUUCCAUGCAGCAAUCAGUUUGUACAAAACUUCAGCAAAACAGAAAGGAAAGUCUACAAACAAAAUCCUAGCUCAAAUUCGAGCACUAACUAAACAUAAAGUAAUAUCCCUUACUAAAUCAGGGUAAUAAACUACACAAUUCAAGAAAAUAAACAUUGGUUUCACCAACCUUUAGCACUUUGUUUGGUGCUGCUCAGCACAGACCUGCUCUCUCUGCAGAUCAAAUUGUAUCUCUCUCUUUCUGCUCUGAGACCUGCUAAUUAAAGCCUCAGCAGUUGCUAAUUAGGAAGGUGAAUGAGUACAGGUUAUGUAGGAGUCUGGGUCCUAAAUACCGUCCUUCUAUUACCCUCCCAUAGACUCUGUCACAAUAUAUAUACAUUUAUAUCAAUGUGUGUGUAUGUAUGUAUUCAUAUAUGUAUAUG